rnacentral:rRNA from 1 species
GACGAACGCUGGCGGCGUGCUUAACACAUGCAAGUCGAGCGGUAAGGCCCUUUCGGGGGUACGACGAGCGGCGAACGGGUGAGUAACACGUGGGUGACCUGCCCUCAGCUCUGGGAUAAGCCUGGGAAACCGGGUCUAAUACCGGAUAUGACUCCAUGACGCAUGUUGUGGGGUGGAAAGCCUUGUGCGGCUGAGGAUGGGCCCGCGGCCUAUCAGCUUGUUGGUGGGGUGAUGGCCUACCAAGGCGACGACGGGUAGCCGGCCUGAGAGGGCGACCGGCCACACUGGGACUGAGACACGGCCCAGACUCCUACGGGAGGCAGCAGUGGGGAAUCUUGCGCAAUGGGCGAAAGCCUGACGCAGCGACGCCGCGUGAGGGAUGACGGCCUGGUGUAACU